rnacentral:rRNA from 1 species
ACACUCCUGCGGGAGGCAGCAGUGGGGAAUUUUGGACAAUGGGCGAAAGCCUGAUCCAGCAAUGCCGCGUGCAGGAUGAAGGCCUUCGGGUUGUAAACUGCUUUUGUACGGAACGAAAAAGCUCCUUCUAAUACAGGGGGCCCAUGACGGUACCGUAAGAAUAAGCACCGGCUAACUACGUGCCAGCAGCCGCGGUAAUACGUAGGGUGCGAGCGUUAAUCGGAAUUACUGGGCGUAAAGCGUGCGCAGGCGGUUAUGUAAGACAGAUGUGAAAUCCCCGGGCUCAACCUGGGAACUGCAUUUGUGACUGCAUGGCUAGAGUACGGUAGAGGGGGAUGGAAUUCCGCGUGUAGCAGUGAAAUGCGUAGAUAUGCGGAGGAACACCGAUGGCGAAGGCAAUCCCCUGGACCUGUACUGACGCUCAUGCACGAAAGCGUGGGGAGCAAACAGGAUUAGAUACCCGAGUAGUCCCAUGAU